rnacentral:lncRNA from 1 species
AUGAACAGAAAAUCUUGCUGGGAAUUGUGUUUUGUAGAAGCAAGCACCCUCUGCAUAUUGCUAUAUUGUGAAGUUCUACAUCUCUGCACGUUUUCAAUUCCUCAGCACCUCCAACAGGCAGACAAAGAGGCUUCCAUCCUGCAGCCACCAAGAUCAACCCUGCUCCCAUCCCAACAAUGGGAAGGAGAGCACCAGUGCCUGGAUCAGCCCAGUGAUGCAUCCAGCAAGAAUUCCCUGCAGCAAAACCAUGGGCACCAUCUUCAGUGGCAGAGGUCUCCAGGCACAACCCACAGGACAGCCAGAAUGACUUCUGGAAAUUAUUUCUGCUUGCUCCACCUAACAAAGAAGAGAUCUCUCACUGCCAUCUCACAUCACUCCAGCAGCAGUCCAUGAAACAGGCUUCAAAUUUUGAUUCAGUUUCACAUUAACAUCCAAGUGCCUACCAGCUCUGCCUUCUGCAAAAACCUGAAGCUGAUGUGGCACUCUGGGAAAAUUACGGGACUAACACCCAAUACAUGCUCCCAACUCCACUGGAAAUCACAGGGAUUGCAGGAGCUCCGUUGGUGUUCCCUGGUGGUGGAUGGGGAAGGCAGAUCAACCAGCAAGACCACCUUCCUUUCUGAGAGUAUUGGCCCUACACCUAUAUGUAUGCCAUGGAAACUAGAUCCAGGGCACACAGGAUACUUUGUAAGGCUACACGAUGACAUAGUGCUUAAGGUUUUCUAAGUACUAUGCAUGCCAAAAUCAUCUAGGUUUUCUACUGCAUUUACUUUCAGACAAAUAGCUCCGUAAGUUCGUACAUCACGCUCUAUGUGUAUUUAUCUUUGAUUGUGUAAAUAACCAAAUUAAACUAUCUUUCCAUGAUGCUGUGUUUAAAUCUCGAUUUAAUCAGGAUAGCACUGAAUUCUCCUUAUGAGAGAACACCUCCAUAUUCCUCUGCCUUGUGAUUUCCUUUCAUUUUCCAUAGCCACACAAUUUCAUACCUUGCAGAGAAACAUCCUUUCCUGACAAUAAUCCUCUUUGCAAAUAGAAUUAACAAGGCAAAUGUAAACACUGUAGGAAUGAACUAGUUGUCAUAUUUACCGAAGCGACUGCUUCCAGUUCCAGAUAAUGAAAUUCUGUAUUAAAUACAUAGGAUGGCUUAAUGUCAAGUUCCUACUUUUCUAAAUUAGGCAGCUAGCCAGUAAGCACCCUGCAGCACCUCCCUCCAUCCCAUUUGAGAAAUUAUACUUAAGAGGUUUCCAAUAAAGGCUGAACUAAUUUGUGCCA